AAGUUUUGAUGGAUCCUUCGGGUGACAUUAAAACUGGAAAGUGGCGAACGGGUGAGUAACGCGUGGGUAACCUGCCCUAUGGAAAGGAAUAGCCUCGGGAAACUGGGAGUAAAGCCUUAUAUUAUGGAGUGAUCGCAUGGUCAUUUCAUGAAAACUCCGGUGCCAUAGGAUGGACCCGCGUCCCAUUAGCUAGUUGGUGAGAUAACAGCCCACCAAGGCGACGAUGGGUAACCGGUCUGAGAGGGCGAACGGUCACACUGGAACUGAGACACGGUCCAGACUCCUACGGGAGGCAGCAGUGGGGAAUAUUGCGCAAUGGGGGCAACCCUGACGCAGCAAUACCGCGUGAGUGAAGAAGGUUUUCGGAUCGUAAAGCUCUGUUAUUGGGGAAGAAAAAAUGACGGUACCCAAUGAGGAAGUCCCGGCUAACUACUUGCCACCAGCCGCGGUAAUACGUAGGGAACAAGCGUUGUCCGGAAUGACUGGGCGUAAAGGGCGCGUAGGCGGUCUAUUAAUUCUGAUGUGAAAGGUACCGGCUCACCCGGUGAAUUGCAUUGAAAACUGGUAAAUUUGAUUAUUGAAAAGGCAAUUGAAAUUCCUAUUGUAGCGUUGAAAUGCGUAAAUAUUAGGAGGAACACCAGUGGCGAAGGCGGCUUGCUGAACAAAUACUGACGCUGAGGUGCGAAAGCGUGGGGAGCGAACAGGAUUAGAUACCCUGGUAGUCCACGCCGUAAACGAUGAAUGCUAGGUGUUGGGGAAACUCAGUGCCGCAGUUAACACAAUAAGCAUUCCGCCUGGGGAGUACGACCGCAAGGUUGAAACUCAAAGGAAUUGACGGGGACCCGCACAAGCAGCGGAGCAUGUGGUUUAAUUCGAAGCAACGCGAAGAACCUUACCAGGUCUUGACAUCCUCUGACGAGCCUAAAGAUAGGAAGUUUCCUUCGGGAACAAAAAACAGGUUGGUGCAUGGGUUGUCGUCAGCUCGGGUCCUGGAAAUGGUGGGUUUAAGUCCGCAACGGACGGCAACCCCUUGCCCUUAAGUUGCCAGCAAUAAAGUUUGGGCAUUCUAAAAGGGACUGGCCGUAAACAAUACGGGAGGGAGGUGGGGGAUGGACGUCCAAUUCAUCAU
rnacentral:rRNA from 1 species